ACGUAGGGGCCAAGCGUUGUCCGGAUUUAUUGGGCGUAAAGAGCUCGUAGGCGGUUCGGCAAGUCGAAUGUGAAAUCUCCACGCUCAACGUGGAGGGGUCAUUCGAUACUGCUGUGACUCGAGUCCGGUAGGGGAGUGUGGAAUUCCCGGUGUAGCGGUGAAAUGCGCAGAGAUCGGGAGGAACACCCGUAGCGAAGGCGGCACUCUGGGCCGGUACUGACGCUGAGGAGCGAAAGCGUGGGGAGCAAACAGUA
rnacentral:rRNA from 1 species